rnacentral:lncRNA from 10 species
ACUAUUCAACACUGCCCUCAGCAGGAGUGGAGGAACUUUAAACCUUCUCUUUGAAUUUGGGCAGGUCCUAUGUCCACUAUGACAUGCAACAGAAUAUGACAGAAGUGUCAUGUGCCUGUUUCCAGGUCUUUGAACAGUAAGUGAAUCAAGGCAGUGACCAGCCCCGGUUACAGCAGAAAGCUGAAGUGAUCCUGAAAGGUUUUCUUUGGAAAGAAGUAUACUUAGUGCAAUAGAUGAGCCUGAGUAAUUUUAAGAAUAUGGUAAAAAUUCAUUUUUAACUUGACAACAAUGGCAAUAAAAUAAAUUACAUAAGACAAUAAAUUGAUUGAUGAAGUCAAUUAAAAAAACAAACAAACAGGAACUCUUCCUCCAUCAUGGUAUUUUUUGGAGCCUCCAAAAAAAAAAAAAAAAAAAGAGGAAAGAAAGAAACAGGAGUAGCUACUUUUGAAUGAGUCAUUCUAAAAUAUUUUAAAAAUGUAACAAAAGUGAACCCAUUUGAGUUGGACAUUAGGAAUUUUCUUCCUCCAAUUGUAAAAACAUUGUAACACUGGAUGUAAAAAGAAGAAAAUGAAUGCAAUGCCUUUAAUUGAAUUUGUGGUAAACGGUAUGUACAUGGCCACAGAAACAAAUGGUAUUUAUUGGUCUUUAGUCUUCACUUCAGUAAAAGCUAAAGACAAAGCACAUAACAAUUACAGUUUCAGA